UGGUUGUUCCAGUCUGCUGGGUAAAAAAUGAUGUUCUUAUGUGGCCGAACCUUUUGGCAAAUGACAAGAUUGAAGAGCUCAGGACUCAGGAAGCUAAAUAUAACGGUACUACAGAAAAGAUUCCUGUCAUUGUGUCGAGAAGAUUCAAAAAUCUGACGAGUGCAGAGGCUGUUGCAGAGGCGCUGGCUCAAUAGGAUGUGUCAGAUGUGGAUGGAAAAAAGAAAUUUCUUAAGCCUGCUAAGAAAAGUAAACCAGUUGGCUUCUCAACAACAAACAAACGGAAAACAAACGUUUUCCAGAGGUCGCAUCUGGCAGCCGAACGAAGUCGGCACAACUGGUCCAACAAACGAAGCAGAAAACUUCAAGGCGAUCAAUUUCGGAUCAUUGUUCUCUCAAUGCAACAGUAAACGAUGCACCGAAAGCUAGUUAUGACCAAAACGCCCAGGAAUUUCCACUAACAAACCCGAGUGACAUAAUUUACAGCAACACAUACAUAUCGGAACUUAAGGCCAAUCCUGGGGAAGAAACAUCCAAUUUUAAUUGAUACUGUAGGUGCUGACCAGAUACAUGUUUUAGAACAGGUGUACACUGCUAACGGUGGGAUUUACUACGCUGAUGGCACGACGGAAUUCGCAGCAACUUCAACAUUUUUCGAUCGUAUGGAUUCAUUGUAGCAUGAACUCAACAAACUCGUUCAAACAACAAUCGAAGCUACUGUUGAAAGAAGCUUCUGGGAGAAUUUUGCCCGGCUUACACCUCUUUUUGAAUUGGGAGAUAGGUCGACUCUAGCAAGUGCUAAUGAAGAAACCCUGGCGGAAAAUCAUACACUCAUAACAGACGAAAAUGAACUUAU